rnacentral:rRNA from 1 species
AUUGAACGCUGGCGGCAGGCCUAACACAUGCAAGUCGAACGAGUGGCGGACGGGUGAGUAAUGUCUGGGAAACUGCCUGAUGGAGGGGGAUAACUACUGGAAACGGUAGCUAAUACCGCAUACCCUCGGAUGUGCCCAGAUGGGAUUAGCUAGGAGGUGGGGUAAAGGCUCACCUAGGCGACGAUCCCUAGCUGGUCUGAGAGGAUGACCAGACAAGCGGGAACUUAGACACGGUCCAGACUCCUGCGGGAGGCAGCGGUGGGGAAUAUGGCACAAUGGGCGCGAGCCUGAUGCAGCCAUGCCGCGUGUAUGAAGAAGGCCUUCGGGUUGGAAAGUACUUUCAGCGGUGAGGCGUUAACAGCAGAAGAAGCACCGGCUAACUCCGUGCCAGCAGCCGCGGUAAUAC